rnacentral:tRNA from 1 species
GCCAGUGUGGCUCAGUGGAUAGAGCGUUGGCCUGCAGACUGAAAGGUCCCGGGUUCAAUUCAGGGCAGGGGCA